rnacentral:misc_RNA from 1 species
UGGUUCUGGCAUCGAUGAAGAACGCAGCGAAAUGCGAUAAGUAAUGUGAAUUGCAGAAUUCAGUGAAUCAUCGAAUCUUUGAACGCACAUUGCGCCCUCUGGUAUUCCGGGGGGCAUGCCUGUUCGAGCGUCAUUACAACCCUCAAGCUCUGCUUGGUAUUGGGUGUCACCGCUUUGGUACACCCUAAAAUCAGUGGCGGUGUCACCUGGCUCCUAGUGUAGUAUACUUCUCGCUAUUGAGCUUAGGUGUAUGCUUGCCAUAACCACACUCUAAGGUUGACCUCGGAUCAGGUAGGGAUACCCGCUGA